rnacentral:rRNA from 1 species
GAUGAACGCUGGCGGCGUGCCUAAUACAUGCAAGUCGAGCGAACAGAUGAGGAGCUUGCUCCUCUGACGUUAGCGGCGGACGGGUGAGUAACACGUGGAUAACCUACCUAUAAGACUGGGAUAACUUCGGGAAACCGGAGCUAAUACCGGAUAAUAUAUUGAACCGCAUGGUUCAAUAGUGAAAGACGGUUUUGCUGUCACUUAUAGAUGGAUCCGCGCCGCAUUAGCUAGUUGGUAAGGUAACGGCUUACCAAGGCAACGAUGCGUAGCCGACCUGAGAGGGUGAGCGGCCACACUGGAACUGAGACACGGUCCAGACUCCUACGGGAGGCAGCAGUAGGGAAUCUUCCGCAAAGGGCGAAAGCCUGACGGAGCAACGCCGCGUGAGUGAUGAAGGUCUUCGGAUCGUAAAACUCUGUUAUUAGGGAAGAACAAAUGUGUAAGUAAUUAUGCACGUCUUGACGGUACCUAAUCAGAAAGCCACGGCUAACUACGUG